rnacentral:rRNA from 1 species
CAGUAGCCACGGUAAUACGAAGGGGGCUAGCGUUGUUCGGAAUUACUGGGCGUAAAGCGCACGUAGGCGGAUAUUUAAGUCAGGGGUGAAAUCCCGCAGCUCAACUGCGGAACUGCCUUUGAUACUGGGUAUCUUGAGUAUGGAAGAGGUUAGUGGAAUUGCGAGUGUAGAGGUGAAAUUCGUAGAUAUUCGCAGGAACACCAGUGGCGAAGGCGGCUAACUGGUCCAUAACUGACGCUGAGGUGCGAAAGCGUGGGGAGCAAACAGGAUUAGAUACCCCUGUAGUCCCUGUCUCUUAUAC